UACAGAGGUCCCAAGCGUUGUUCGGAUUCAUUGGGCGUAAAGGGUGCGUAGGCGGACCUGCAAGUCGGGGGUGAAAGCCCGAGGCUCAACCUCGGAACUGCCUUCGAUACUGCGGGUCUCGAGUCCGGGAGAGGUGAGUGGAAUUCCUAGUGUAGAGGUGAAAUUCGUAGAUAUUAGGAAGAACACCAGUGGCGAAGGCGACUUCCUGGCCUGUUCUUGACGCUGAGGCGCGAAAGCUAGGGGAGCAAACGGG
rnacentral:rRNA from 1 species